rnacentral:lncRNA from 1 species
GGUCAGAUUUGUACGUCAGAUUAUUUGAUAAUCGGUAGCAAGCCGAAUAUCCUUCGAUUAGCUGUAGCCAUGUCGGUAUAAUUCUAAUCCGACUUUGGUCAUUUUGGCAUUUCUGUUCCUCUUAGUUGGGACUAAGUCGGCAUAUUAGUAUUUCGACUAUAGUCAGCUUUUACAAUGGAGAGCCGACAUUGAGAACCGAUGUAUAAUCGAUAGUACGGCUUUUACUG